rnacentral:sRNA from 21 species
CCCACCGCUUACGCGGUGGGCCAUUGCAUGGCGUCGCUGCGCGACU